rnacentral:rRNA from 1 species
UAGGGAAUCUUCCACAAUGGACGCAAGUCUGAUGGAACAACGCCGCGUGAGUGAAGAAGGCUUUCGGGUCGUAAAACUCUGUUAUUGAAGAAGAACGUGUGUGACAGUAACUGGUCAUGCAGUGACGGUAUUCAAUCAGAAAGUCACGGCUAACUACGUGCCAGCAGCCGCGGUAAUACGUAGGUGGCAAGCGUUGUCCGGAUUUAUUGGGCGUAAAGCGAGUGCAGGCGGUCUUUUAAGUCUGAUGUGAAAGCCUUCGGCUUAACCGAAGAAGGGCAUCGGAAACUGGGAGACUUGAGUGCAGAAGAGGAGA